CCUACGGGAGGCAGCAGUGAGGAAUAUUGGUCAAUGGGCGCGAGCCUGAACCAGCCAAGUCGCGUGAGGGAAGACGGCCCUACGGGUUGUAACCUCCUUUGCCGGGGAGCAACGGUCGCCACGUGUGGCGCCACUGAGAGUACCCGGAGAAAAAGCAUCGGCUAACUCCGUGCCUGCAGCAGUGGUAAUACGGAGGAUGCGACCGUUAUCCGGAUUUAUUGGGUUUAAAGGGUGCGUAGGCGGACCGUUAAGUCAGUGGUAAAAUUGAGGGGCUAAACCCCUUCCCGCCAUUGAAACUGGCGCUCUGGAGUGGAAGAGAAGUAGGCGGAAUGCGUGGUGUAGCGGUGAAAUGCAUAGAUAUCACGCAGAACCCCGAUUGCGAAGGCAGCAUGCCGGCUUCCGACUGACGCUGAAGCACGAAAGCGUGGGGAUCGAACAGGAUUAGAUACCCCAGUAGUC
rnacentral:rRNA from 1 species